rnacentral:rRNA from 1 species
UACAGAGGUCUCGAGCGUUGUUCGGAUUCAUUGGGCGUAAAGGGUGCGUAGGCGGACAGGUAAGUCAGUGGUGAAAUCUCUGGGCUUAACUCAGAAACUGCCGUUGAUACUAUUUGUCUUGAAUAUCCUGGAUGUAAGCGGAAUAUGUCAUGUAGCGGUGAAAUGCUUAGAUAUGACAUAGAACACCGAUAGCGAAGGCAGCUUACUACAGGUUCAUUGACGCUGAGGCACGAAAGCGUGGGGAGCAAACAGG